AUUGAACGCUGGCGGCAGGCUUAACACAUGCAAGUCGAGCGGGGUGAUGGUGCUUGCACUAUCACUUAGCGGCGGACGGGUGAGUAAUGCUUAGGAAUCUGCCUAUUAGUGGGGGACAACAUCUCGAAAGGGAUGCUAAUACCGCAUACGUCCUACGGGAGAAAGCAGGGGAUCACUUGUGACCUUGCGCUAAUAGAUGAGCCUAAGUCGGAUUAGCUAGUUGGGGGGGUAAAGGCCUACCAAGGCGACGAUCUGUAGCGGGUCUGAGAGGAAGGUCCGCCACACUGGGACGGAGACACGGCCCAGACUCCUACGGGAGGCAGCCGUGGGGAAUAUUGGACAAUGGGGGGAACCCUGAUCCAGCCAUGCCGCGUGUGUGAAGAAGGCCUUAUGGUUGUAAAGCACUUUAAGCGAGGAGGAGGCUCUUUUGGUUAAUACCCAAGAUGAGUGGACGUUACUCGCAGAAUAAGCACCGGCUAACUCUGUGCCAGCCGCCGCGGUAA
rnacentral:rRNA from 1 species